AUUGAACGCUGGCGGCAGGCCUAACACAUGCAAGUCGAACGAGUGGCGGACCGGUGAGUAAUGUCUGGGAAACUGCCUGAUGGAGGGGGAUAACUACUGGAAACGGUAGCUAAUACCGCAUACCAUCAGAUGUGCCCAGAUGGGAUUAGCUGGUUGGGGGGGUAACGGCUCACCAAGGCGACGAUCCCUAGCUGGUCUGAGAGGAUGACCAGCACCAUUGGAACUUGGACACGGUCCAGACUCCUCCGGGAGGAAGCAGUGGGGAAUAUUGGACAAUGGGCGAAAGCCUGAGGCAGCCAUGCCGCGUGUAUGAAGAAGGCCUUCGGUUUGUAAAGUACUUUCAGCGGGGAGGCGUUACCCGCAUAAGAAGCACCGGCUAACUCCGUGCCAGCAGCCGCGGUAAUAC
rnacentral:rRNA from 1 species